CGCAUCUGUGCAUGCAGCAUAUCAAUAAGCGGAGGAAAAGAAACUAACAAGGAUUCCCUCAGUAACGGCGAGUGAAGCGGGAAGAGCUCAAAUUUGAAAUCUUGAAAGGUCACCUUUCACGAAUUGUAGUUUAAAGAAGUGUUUUCUGUUACGAUCGUAAUAUAAGUUCUUUGGAAUAGGACAUCACAGAGGGUGAGAAUCCCGUCUAUGAUUGCGAUUUGUAGCUUUGUGAUACACUUUCGAAGAGUCGGGUUGUUUGGGAAUGCAGCCCAAAACGGGAGGUAAAUUUCUUCUAAGGCUAAAUAUUGGCGAGAGACCGAUAGCGAACAAGUACCGUGAGGGAAAGAUGAAAAGAACUUUGAAAAGAGAGUUAAAUAGUACGUGAAAUUGUCAAAAGGGAAGCGUUUAACACCAGUGUUGUUUUCUGAAAAUCAACCUCUGUUAGCUUUAUGCAUGUUUGUUUAGACCUAAUCAGCUAUCUUGCAUGUCCUAUUGUUUGCAGUGGUGCACUUUUCAGUUUACAGGUCAACAUCAGUUUUUUUUACCGUAAAAAAGUUAAAGAAAGGUAGCUCAUGGCUCCGGUCGUGAGUGUUAUAGUCUUUUUCCUAUGCGGUAGGAGAGACUGAGGUCUGCAGUGUAGGCUAUUUGGCUAGAUACUCAGGUGCUAUGUGAUACCAUUUCAUAAACAACUUGUUGAUUAUGUUUUAUCUAUUGCAUACUCGCUUGUACUAUCAUACCUACGCUUAGGAUGUUGACGAUCAGCUGAGCGCG
rnacentral:rRNA from 1 species